rnacentral:rRNA from 1 species
UACGUAGGGUGCAAGCGUUAAUCGGAAUUACUGGGCGUAAAGCGUGCGCAGGCGGUUGUGCAAGUCCGAUGUGAAAUCCCCGGGCUCAACCUGGGAACUGCAUUUGUGACUGCACGGCUGGAGUGCGGCAGAGGGGGAUGGAAUUCCGCGUGUAGCAGUGAAAUGCGUAGAUAUGCGGAGGAACACCGAUGGCGAAGGCAAUCCCCUGGGCCUGCACUGACGCUCAUGCACGAAAGCGUGGGGAGCAAACAGG